UACGUAGGGUGCGAGCGUUGUCCGGAAUUAUUGGGCGUAAAGAGCUUGUAGGCGGUUUGUCGCGUCUGCCGUGAAAAUCCGCGGCUCAACCUCGGACUUGCGGUGGGUACGGGCAGACUAGAGUGUGGUAGGGGAGACUGGAAUUCCUGGUGUAGCGGUGAAAUGCGCAGAUAUCAGGAGGAACACCGAUGGCGAAGGCAGGUCUCUGGGCCACUACUGACGCUGAGAAGCGAAAGCGUGGGGAGCGAACAGG
rnacentral:rRNA from 1 species